rnacentral:rRNA from 1 species
UUGACGGGGGCCCGCACAAGCGGUGGAGCAUGUGGUUUAAUUCGAUGCAACGCGAAGAACCUUACCAGCCCUUGACAUCCUCGGAAUCCUGCAGAGAUGCGGGAGUGCCUUCGGGAGCCGAGAGACAGGUGCUGCAUGGCUGUCGUCAGCUCGUGUCGUGAGAUGUUGGGUUAAGUCCCGUAACGAGCGCAACCCUUGCCCUUAGUUGCCAGCGCGUCAAGGCGGGAACUCUAAGGAGACUGCCGGUGACAAACCGGAGGAAGGUGGGGAUGACGUCAAGUCCUCAUGGCCCUUAUGGGUAGGGCUUCACACGUCAUACAAUGGUCGGUACAGAGGGUUGCCAACCCGCGAGGGGGAGCUAAUCCCACAAAGCCGAUCGUAGUCCGGAUCGCAGUCUGCAACUCGACUGCGUGAAGUCGGAAUCGCUAGUAAUCGUGGAUCAGCAUGUCACGGUGAAUACGUUCCCGGGUCUU